GGUUGUGCCCUUGAGGCGUGGCUUCCGGAGCUAACGCGUUAAGUAGACCGCCUGGGGAGUACGGCCGCAAGGUUAAAACUCAAAUGAAUUGACGGGGGCCCGCACAAGCGGUGGAGCAUGUGGUUUAAUUCGAUGCAACGCGAAGAACCUUACCUGGUCUUGACAUCCACAGAACUUUCCAGAGAUGGACUGGUGCCUUCGGGAACUGUGAGACAGGUGCUGCAUGGCUGUCGUCAGCUCGUGUUGUGAAAUGUUGGGUUAAGUCCCGCAACGAGCGCAACCCUUAUCCUUUGUUGCCAGCGAUUAGGUCGGGAACUCAAAGGAGACUGCCAGUGAUAAACUGGAGGAAGGUGGGGAUGACGUCAAGUCAUCAUGGCCCUUACGACCAGGGCUACACACGUGCUACAAUGGCGCAUACAAAGAGAAGCGACCUCGCGAGAGCAAGCGGACCUCAUAAAGUGCGUCGUAGUCCGGAUUGGAGUCUGCAACUCGACUCCAUGAAGUCGGAAUCGCUAGUAAUCGUGGAUCAGAAUGCCACGGUGAAUACGUUCCCGGGCCUUGUACACACCGCCCGUCACACCAUGGGAGUGGGUUGCAAAAGAGUAGGUAGCUUAACCUUCGGGAGGGCGCUUACCACUUUGUGAUUCAUGACUGGGGUGAAGUCGUAACAAGGUAACCGUAGGGGAACCUGCGGUUGGAUCACCUCCUUACCUUAAAGAAGC
rnacentral:rRNA from 1 species